AGUGAACGCUGGCGGUAGGCCUAACACAUGCAAGUCGAACGGCAGCACAGUAAGAGCUUGCUCUUACGGGUGGCGAGUGGCGGACGGGUGAGGAAUACAUCGGAAUCUACUUUUUCGUGGGGGAUAACGUAGGGAAACUUACGCUAAUACCGCAUACGACCUACGGGUGAAAGCAGGGGAUCUUCGGACCUUGCGCGAUUGAAUGAGCCGAUGUCGGAUUAGCUAGUUGGCGGGGUAAAGGCCCACCAAGGCGACGAUCCGUAGCUGGUCUGAGAGGAUGAUCAGCCACACUGGAACUGAGACACGGUCCAGACUCCUACGGGAGGCAGCAGUGGGGAAUAUUGGACAAUGGGCGCAAGCCUGAUCCAGCCAUACCGCGUGGGUGAAGAAGGCCUUCGGGUUGUAAAGCCCUGUUGUUGGGAAAGAAAAGCAGCAGGUUAAGACCCCGCUGUUCUGACGGUACCCAAAGAAGAAGCACCGGCUAACUUCGU
rnacentral:rRNA from 1 species